AGAGGACAGAAAUUAGCCUCCCGGGCUUUGUCCCAUCGCUGUCUUUUGCUAUGUGGAGGCUCUGCUGGAAGGAAACUUCUGUUACUGCACAGGUAGAACUGCCAACAUGGCCGCUUCACAGUAUGGGAGGAGACUUUGUAUCUAUUACAUCUCAAGGAUGCUUGUCAGCAGCAGCCAUGCACACCAACGGGCCGGGCCGGGCUUGAGAGCUUCAGAACAUCAGCCAUGCUCAGACUAUUUCCAGGGACUCCCACUCCUGCGUUCUUUCACCUUUCCUAGUCACAGUUUGGAUCCAGCUGUGGUGCUAAGUAUAAAGGACUCAGCUAGAGCCACCCCGGCUCAUCGUUGCAGGGUAGGGGACGACCUUCUCGAUACGGACAUGAUAGUCUCUCUCAGAUCUGCAGAGGGUUGGUGGCCUCCAGAUGCUGAGGAGUGGGGCUGCUAACACAGAGAGAGCGCUAAGUGACAGCAGACACUGCAAAGUCACUGUAAAGGAAAAGGGACAGUUGUGUACUGCUGGCUCCUUUCUGGUAGAUUCUUUACCUCAAAUGCCAACUUCCUAUUCAUGAACUCGUCAUCUUAUAAAUUAAA
rnacentral:lncRNA from 1 species